UUUCAACUCCCUGAGAUGUGAAUAAUAAGUGCUUUGUGUUCCUCCAUGAUUGAGAGGAAUGGCAUCUAAGGAUCCAUCUGCCCCCAUGAUGAACUUCGUCUUGUGAUGGCUCCCAAGGUGUAUUCUCUUUAAUUUAAAUUGAAAAAAAUUCUUUAUGUGUUUUUUAGCAUAGGAAUAAGAUUUUUUUACGUUAAUGUAGUAGGCUGGAGGAAGAAUGCUACUUUGUCCGAGAGAGUGGAAACAAGCAGAAGGAGGAGUAGGCGUAGCCUACUAAUGUGUGUAGCUUUGACAAAGACAUAUGCUCAACAGGUCCUUGACAUCUGCAUAUCAAACCAAAAUUGCACUUUUGCUGAAAAGUUAAUGAACUUUCACUUGCUGGACAAUUUAGGAAUCAUAUUUUGGGACAAGAAGAGUCUGGCCACGUCAACAUUAUAGUUUAAUUUCAUUUUGAAUUCGUUUAUAAUGUAAUUGGGUCAAACUUUAUGAUUUUGAAUCCAUUUUUUGUCAUCAUUUAGGAGAAGCCAUUUAAAGGGCAUUUUUGUCUUUUGGGGUUUUUAAAUACCCAAAUCAGAUUUAGGUCACUUCUUCCUCCCUCAUUUUGGCGUUUUCUCUUCUUAGGUUAGGAGCUUUGGUGUGUUUUCCACCCCUCGCCUUGGGGGCUUAGGUUUUGUUCUCUUUUCCUUUCAAUUAAUGAAUGAAUCUCAUUUUUAAUUUCAAUUGCAAUUGUGUUUCGGUUCUUGCUUCA